AGAGUUUGAUCCUGGCUCAGGACGAACGCUGGCGGCGUGCCUAACACAUGCAAGUCGAACGGGAUCCAUGCCAUGAAGUUUUCGGAUGGAUUGGUGUGGUGAGAGUGGCGAACGGGCGAGUAACGCGUGAGCAACCUACCUCGUACUGGGGGAUAACGUCGGGAAACCGGCGCUAAUACCGCAUAAGACUACGAUGUCGCAUGGCGUUGUAGUCAAAGCUCCGGCGGUACGAGACGGGCUCGCGUCCGAUUAGCUAGUUGGUAGGGUAACGGCCUACCAAGGCGACGAUCGGUAGCCGGACUGAGAGGUCGGCCGGCCGCAUUGGGACUGAGACACGGCCCAGACUCCUACGGGAGGCAGCAGUGGGGAAUAUUGCGCAAUGGGGGAAACCCUGACGCAGCGACGCCGCGUGAAGGAAGAAGGCCUUCGGGUUGUAAACUUCUUUGGCAGGGGACGAAGAAAGACGGUACCCUGAGAACAAGCCACGGCUAACUACGUGCCAGCAGCCGCGGUAAUACGUAGGUGGCGAGCGUUGUCCGGAAUUACUGGGCGUAAAGGGCGUGUAGGCGGGGGGACAAGUCAGAUGUGAAAUACCGCAGCUUAACUGCGGGGCUGCAUCUGAAACUGUUCUUCUUGAGUGUCGGAGAGGAAAGUGGAAUUCCCAGUGUAGCGGUGAAAUGCGUAGAGAUUGGGAGGAACACCAGUGGCGAAGGCGGCUUUCUGGACGACAACUGACGCUGAGGCGCGAAAGCGUGGGGGAGCAAACAGGAUUAGAUACCCUGAUAGUCCACGCUGUAAACGAUGGAUACUAGGUGUAGGAGGUAUCGACCCCUUCUGUGCCGGAGUUAACACAAUAAGUAUCCCGCCUGGGGAGUACGGCCGCAAGGUUGAAACUCAAUGAAUUGACGG
rnacentral:rRNA from 1 species